GUGCCAGCAGCCGCGGUAAUACCGGCAGCCCGAGUGAUGGCCGAUAUUAUUGGGCCUAAAGCGUCCGUAGCUGGCCGAACAAGUCCGUCGGGAAAUCCACGUGCUUAACGCGUGGGCGACCGGCGGAAACUGUUCGGCUUGGGGCCGGAGGACCCGAGGGGUACGUCCGGGGUAGGAGUGAAAUCCUGUAAUCCUGGACGGACCACCGAUGGCGAAAGCACUUCGAGAAAACGGAUCCGACAGUGAGGGACGAAAGCUAAGAUCGCGAACCGGAUUAGAUACCCUGGUAGUCC
rnacentral:rRNA from 1 species